rnacentral:rRNA from 1 species
CCUACGGUGCGCAGCAGUCGAGAAUCAUUCACAAUGGGGGAAACCCUGAUGGUGCGACGCCGCGUGGGGGAAUGAAGGUCUUCGGAUUGUAAACCCCUGUCAUGUGGGAGCAAAUUAAAAAGAUAGUACCACAAGAGGAAGAGACGGCUAACUCUGUACCAGCAGCCGCGGUAAUACCGAGGUCUCAAGCGUUGUUCGGAAUCACUGGGCGUAAAGCGUGCGUAGGCUGUUUCGUAAGUCGUGUGUGAAAGGCGCGGGCUCAACCCGCGGACGGCACAUGAUACUGCGAGACUAGAGUAAUGGAGGGGGAACCGGAAUUCUCGGUGUAGCAGUGAAAUGCGUAGAUAUCGAGAGGAACACUCGUGGCGAAGGCGGGUUCCUGGACAUUAACUGACGCUGAGGCACGAAGGCCAGGGGAGCGAAAGGGAUUAGAUACCCCAGUAGUC